GCGGUGGAUGAUGUGGUUUAAUUCGAUGCAACGCGAAAAACCCUUACCUACCCUUGACAUGCCUGGAAUCCUGCAGAGAUGUGGGAGUGCUCGAAAGAGAACCAGGACACAGGUGCUGCAUGGCCGUCGUCAGCUCGUGUCGUGAGAUGUUGGGUUAAGUCCCGCAACGAGCGCAACCCUUGUCAUUAGUUGCUACGGAAGGGCACUCUAAUGAGACUGCCGGUGACAAACCGGAGGAAGGUGGGGAUGACGUCAGGUCCUCAUGGCCCUUAUGGGUAGGGCUACACACGUCAUACAAUGGCCGGUACAGAGGGCUGCCAACCCGCGAGGGGGAGCUAAUCCCAGAAAACCGGUCGUAGUCCGGAUCGCAGUNUNCAACUCGACUGCGUGAAGUUGGAAUCGCUAGUAAUCGUGGAUCAGCACGCCACGGUGAAUACGUUCCCGGGCCUUGUACACACCGCCCGUCACACCAUGGGAGCUGACUCAACCAGAAAACGAUCAGGCUAACCGUAAGGAGGCCUUCGUUGAAGGUGGGGUUGGUGACUGGGGUGAAGUCGUAACAAGGUAGCCGUAGGGGAACCUGCGGCUGGAUAUCCUCCUU
rnacentral:rRNA from 1 species